UCUCCUACCUUUUCCCUAAAAAGCUCAUAUGAAUCUAUCAGUGAACAUCCCCUACUAUCAGAUAUUUGGAGACUAGUUAGAAAUUGUACCUCUUUUCUUGCAUCUCAUAUCUAGAGCUGCAGACUGAAUAGUUGCUUGUAGCAGCUUAUGGAUGACCAUUCUUCUUCAGUUUAGAGAUAUUUUAUUUUCUGAUUUUGUUAGAAAAUUCAUACUAGACGAGAAUGAGCCAUUUAUCUUAUUAAAAAAAAACCUUUAUUUGUUAAAUACGUG
rnacentral:lncRNA from 1 species